rnacentral:rRNA from 1 species
AGAGUUUGAUCCUGGCUCAGGACGAACGCUGGCGGCACGCUUAACACAUGCAAGUCGAACGAGAGAAGAGGAGCUUGCUUUUCUGAUCUAGUGGCGGACGGGUGAGUAACACGUGAGCAAUCUGCCUUUCAGAGGGGGAUACCGAUUGGAAACGAUCGUUAAUACCGCAUAACAUAAUUGAACCGCAUGAUUUGAUUAUCAAAGAUUUAUCGCUGAAAGAUGAGCUCGCGUCUGAUUAGCUAGUUGGUAAGGUAACGGCUUACCAAGGCGACGAUCAGUAGCCGGACUGAGAGGUUGAUCGGCCACAUUGGGACUGAGACACGGCCCAGACUCCUACGGGAGGCAGCAGUGGGGAAUAUUGCACAAUGGAGGAAACUCUGAUGCAGCGAUGCCGCGUGAGGGAAGAAGGUUUUAGGAUUGUAAACCUCUGUCUUCAGGGACGAAAAAAGACGGUACCUGAGGAGGAAGCUCCGGCUAACUACGUGCCAGCAGCCGCGGUAAUACGUAGGGAGCGAGCGUUGUCCGGAAUUACUGGGUGUAAAGGGAGCGUAGGCGGGAUCGCAAGUCAGAUGUGAAAACUAUGGGCUUAACCCAUAAACUGCAUUUGAAACUGUGGUUCUUGAGUGAAGUAGAGGUAAGCGGAAUUCCUAGUGUAGCGGUGAAAUGCGUAGAUAUUAGGAGGAACAUCAGUGGCGAAGGCGGCUUACUGGGCUUUAACUGACGCUGAGGCUCGAAAGCGUGGGUAGCAAACAGGAUUAGAUACCCUGGUAGUCCACGCCGUAAACGAUGAUUACUAGGUGUGGGGGGACUGACCCCUUCCGUGCCGCAGCAAACGCAAUAAGUAAUCCACCUGGGGAGUACGACCGCAAGGUUGAAACUCAAAGGAAUUGACGGGGGCCCGCACAAGCAGUGGAGUAUGUGGAUUAAUUCGAAGCAACGCGAAGAGCCUUACCAGGUCUUGACAUCGUAUGCAUAGCUCAGAGAUGAGUGAAAUCUCUUCGGAGACAUAUAGACAGGUGGUGCAUGGUUGUCGUCAGCUCGUGUCGUGAGAUGUUGGGUUAAGUCCCGCAACGAGCGCAACCCUUACUGUUAGUUGCUACGCAAGAGCACUCUAGCAGGACUGCCGUUGACAAAACGGAGGAAGGUGGGGAUGACGUCAAAUCAUCAUGCCCCUUAUGACCUGGGCCUCACACGUACUACAAUGGCUGUCAACAGAGGGAAGCAAAGCCGCGAGGUGGAGCGAACCCCUAAAAGCAGUCUUAGUUCGGAUUGUAGGCUGCAACCCGCCUACAUGAAGUCGGAAUUGCUAGUAAUCGCAGAUCAGCAUGCUGCGGUGAAUACGUUCCCGGGCCUUGUACACACCGCCCGUCACGCCAUGGGAGUCGGUAACACCCGAAGCCUGUAGUCUAACCGCAAGGAGGACGCAGUCGAAGGUGGGAUUGAUGACUGGGGUGAAGUCGUAACAAGGUA